GAUGAACGCUAGCUACAGGCUUAACACAUGCAAGUCGAGGGGAAACGACAUCGAAAGCUUGCUUUUGAUGGGCGUCGACCGGCGCACGGGUGAGUAACGCGUAUCCAACCUGCCCACCACUUGGGGAUAACCUUGCGAAAGUAAGACUAAUACCCAAUGACGUCUCUAGAAGACAUCUGAAAGGGAUUAAAGAUUUAUCGGUGAUGGAUGGGGAUGCGUCUGAUUAGCUUGUUGGUGAGGUAACGGCUCACCAAGGCAUCGAUGGGUAGGGGUUCUGAGAGGAAGGUCCCCCACAUUGGAACUGAGACACGGUCCAA
rnacentral:rRNA from 1 species